GCUGGGCAUGGUGGCGCAUGCCUGUAGUCCCAGCUACUUGGGAAGCUGAGGCAGGAGAAUAGCUUGAACCCGGGAGGUGGAGGUUGCAAUGAGCCAAGAUCGUGCCACUGCCCUUCAGCCCGGGUGACAGAAGCAAGACUCUGUCUCUC
ensembl:misc_RNA Metazoa_SRP Metazoan signal recognition particle RNA